rnacentral:snRNA from 1 species
GUGCUCACUUUAGCAGCAUAUAUACUAAAACUGGAAUGAUACAAAGAAGAUUAGCAUGGCCCCUGUGCAAAGAUGACAUGCAAACUUGUGAAGUGUUCUAAAUUUUU